rnacentral:tRNA from 1 species
CGGUGUAGCUCAGUUGGUAGAGCAGUGCAUUCGUAAUGCAAAGGUCGUAGGUCCGACUCCUAUCACCGGC